AAUUUCUGCAGGUUGCAAAUACUCAAAUGUGGCAUAUUCAAGGUCUUACACUAUGUGAACAACAUUUGAUUUCAACAGAUAUGAUGAGUAGGCAAUACUCUUUGGUGAAUCUGUGAGAACAUGCAAAUAAAAAACAAUUUGAGUCCAAGGCAUUUGAUUGUAAAGUAUGAAGGAGGACAACAACUUGAGGGUCAUUUGUUUUACAGCGAAGGGUUUUAGUGUGGAUCACUUUCUGUAGAGGUGCAAAAUACAAGUUACUGUUCAGAGGCCUAUGAUUUUGUCGGAGGGUCAAGUAUAUGUGAUGAAGCACUUUUCUUAUAUUUUGAUUUUGUGAUUCUGAAUAAUUAUUUGUACAGUUGUUAAGUCACCUAUAUAAUUAUAUUACUUAUAUCACCUUUUUUUUAAACCAUUAAAAUUAUUACUUUACAUGUGUCA